GCAAGUUCAAAUUAGUAAACAUCAGUCUGUGUGAAUUAAAUACCCUUUUGAUCAACGUAUUUGAUAUUAACACAAGGGUGUCGAAAGUGGGGGCAAGUUUAAGAAGCCUGAGUUCUUCAGGCUGCCACCAUUUAUGUUUACUGCUUAAGUCUGCUUGACAAAUUGUUUAAAAAACCUGUACUUAAAAGAUAUUUUAAAGCUGUGAAAGCCUGUUUGAGAGGCUCUUGAUCAUGUCAACAAAGUUUUUAAACAUAUCGAAGGCGCAGCUAAAUAAAUACAAUUGUCUCAAAAUGUGUGUAAAAGUGUUGGAUAAGUGUUGGAUAAUUGUUGUGAAAUAGCGAUACAUGUUUUGAACGGCAACUGAACAUUGAUGAGUUCAACCAGUUUUACAAGAACCUGAAUACAUUGAGAAGACUUUCAAAAAACAAAAACAAAGGAAAGAUGAUGGGUGUGCGAAAUUAUACAGACAUUCAUUAUUAUUAUGAGGUACUCAUCUAGAUGAUUAAUUAAUGAGAUCGCAAUUUACAAACCACCUCGAUCAAAGAGAAAAUGACAAAGACGCAAAGGAAGAACAAACAGAUAAACAUAAAUGUAGACACAUUGGUGGAGAAAAAGGUUGAUAAAAUAAAAGACACGAAAGUAGAAACAAAAGUAGACACAAAGGUAAAUAAAGAGUUCAACAAAAAACUAAUAAAGGUAUACUUAAAAGCAGGCACAAAAGCAGACAAUAUGGUAGAAAAACAGAUAAACAAAAUGAUGGACACAAAGGCAGACAAAAAGAGACACACAAAUGCAGACAAAAAAGUUGGCAAAUCGUAGAAAAAAAGAAAGACACAAAGGAGGACACAAAAGUAGACAAAAAGGCCAGAGGGUUGUUGUGUUGGAUUCUGUAAAGACGACUGGAGCCCCUAAAUUGCUAAAGGUCUCAUUUCCUUCGAUUAGAAAUCAAGGCUAUAACAGAAUUGAUAUUUGGGGAACUCAUAUUAAUUUAUGUAGGUAUGCAUGUUAUAAAUUGUACUAAACUAUAAAUUACAUUGUUCUCACGUUCAGUGAACAAUAAUAUAUUCACAAAGCGAAAGUAAAAAAGUCAAGCAGGCUACGCUGCUUAAUGUGGCA